UAGCAAAGUUUCUGGCACAAAUCUGGCUUACAUUGGGCAUUUAUGGCUAAAUUUAGGCUCUCUUUUGUUGACACCUUUGUGUGAAACAGCUUUCGGGGGAGUUGUGGGGUGAGGCUAGCCAGCCAAAAGCAAAAGGUACAUUUUUGGCUGAGUCCUGGCUUGAGUGUGGUCUGCCAGAAAAUAGUAAAUAUCUGGCAGAGUUCUGGCUAAGGUUUGGUUGGCCAAAGAGUUAAAAAAAAACACCAAAAAGUUUUUGUAAAUGUAAAAAGUCUAAAUUAAAUGGUGUUGUCAUGUCAAUUACCAUUGACAAUAUUUAUUUAUUAAAUAGCAGACACUUGUCAAAACCUAUUUAUAUAAAAUCAUAUUUACACUUGAUAAAAACAUCAAAGUUAAUAUUUAAGGCAAUAAUAAAUAUGUUUAUCCUUAUUGAAAGACGAAAUGUAGAAAAUGUUAUUUUGGGCAGUUAAUCCAAAGGUGUCAAUGUGCAAUAUACAAACAAUGCAAUAAACAGAUAAAUGAAUAAUGCAGUCUGUUCUAAUAUACAUCAAACAAAAGUAUUUUAAGUAUGUGUGCUUAUUUAAGUCUAUUUAGUUUUGUAUUUUAUUUUUUUAUAAAUAAAUAAGACUUUACAUUAAAUUGUGUUUACAAUUUAAAAAUACGACUAACUAAUACUAAUAUUUAUUGGUGCACUUUCGUUCCUAAAACAAUGACAUAUAUUGCAAUGCACCUUGGAAAUAGUAGUCAUUUAACCUCAACAGCGUUCAAUACGCCGUGGAAAAUGGACUACCUUUCCCAUAAUGCAACUGGUCAGGAUCAGGAACUUCCGCGAAUUUCAAACCCCCAGCUGUGUACUGGACGGAGGACGCGCGAACUUUUGUUUUGUGGAGUUUUAUAUAACACAGUAAGUAAGAGACGCAACAUGCAUGACGGGGAUGAUAAAAUAAUCAAUAAGAAGUUUGAAUCUUUAAAAAUAAAUGAAUGCUGAACCCCAAAGAAGCCAACCGAAGAUGAGAUGUUUUCUGUACCAAUCCACAAAUCAACAUUUGCUGAAGUCAUGAACCACACUUUGUCAACAAUAAAUGUUGUUUCUGCAAUCUGGAUAAAGAAUAAUGUGAGUAAAGAAUAAUAAUGAGAAAUUACUGCCUCUUGGAGAACAGCCGACUGUACUCCAGACAGAGACAAAGACGUGAGGACAUCUAUUGCUUUUGUAAAGGAAUUUUAUACCCAAGAGUUAUAAAUGUUGUCUUUAUUGUUUGUCUUAAUAUUUUAUUUGACAUUUUAACAAUAUAAAGUUUACUUGUACUUGUUUUUUGUUUGUAGAAGUCAUGUACCACACUUUGUCAACAAAACAUGUUGUUCCUGCAAUCUGGAUGAAGAAUAAUUUGAGUUUAAUACUUCAUUUAAAAUGUAAUAGUUUAAAUAUUAAACAAAUGUGUAUCUGAUCAGAUGUUUGACUUCUCUAUUUAAUAGAUAUUACUGCCUCUUGGGAAAAAGCAGACUGUACUCCAGACAGAGACAAAGACAUGAGGACAUCCAUUGCUUUUAAGUUCUAUACCAGACUAUGUUGUUCCAGCUGUCUGGGUAAAGACUGAUACAUUACUGCCUCUUGGAGAACAGCAAACCAUUCUCCAGACAGAGACAAAGACAUGGACAUCAAAACAGAAAAUUAAGUACUUUAUCAUGGAUUGUUUGGAGUGAACGCUGACAAAUAAUGAAGCAAGAAAUGAAAAUGCUUGACCAAAACAAUUUUUGUACUUGGCUGUAAGAAGUCCUUUGUGUGUACAGACAUGACUGGAGAUUAAAGUUACUAAAUGUUGCUUUUUUCUAGCUGGUGACAUAACAUGAUAUUAUUUUCAAAUGUAUUUAUCUAAUACACAUUUGCACAUCUGUAAACAUUCAUUUUAUAUUGCAUGUUUUUAUAUUUAACCAGUUGUUGUAUAUUGCUAUCUGUUAUUACAUCUGUUUUUUAUUGUCCGUUUAUUGUUUAAAACAAUUAAGUUAAUGUUUCUCUGUUAGCUUUUAUGUUACUUUGGCUAUUUCUUUGCUUUUAUUUGAUCCUUCUACUGUUAUUUGUUUAUUUGGCAGAACAUUUGACAUUUCAUUUAUUUUGCUGUUAUCUGAAAUUUUUCUUGUCAGCAUCAAUAAAACUCUAUAUUUGCUUUA